rnacentral:rRNA from 1 species
UAAGCAUAUCAAUAAGCGGAGGAAAAGCAACUAACCAGGAUUCCCCCAGUAACGGCGAGCGAAGCGGGAAUAGCUCGAGCAGGCAAUCUCUGGUGUUGAUCGCCAGCGAAUUGUGGCCGGCAGAGGCGGGUGCACCUGACGCGAUUCCGUCGAAGUUGACCUGGAAAGGCACGUCAGAGAGGGUGAUAACCCCGUGCGUGGCGGAGUCGCGGAGGGCCGCUACCGUCUUCGGAGAGUCGGGUUGUUUGGGAGUGCAGCCCAAAGUGGGUGGUAAACUCCAUCUAAAGCCAAAUAACGGCACGAGACCGAUAGCGAACAAGUACCAUGAGGGAAAGGUGAAAAGCACUUUGGAAAGAGAGUUAAAGAGGCCGCGAAACCGUUGGGAGGGAAACGCAUGCAGCCGAACGGGCCCGUGUCGGGUUCAGGGGGCUGCGAGGAGUCCCACGUUCAGACGGCACCCUAGUUGGGUCGUCUGUUCGUCGAGUCGACUCGCACCCCUGCACUCUCGGCAGCAAGGGCCGGCCAAGUGCGGUGGGUUCCGGGCGAUGAGCGCGCGUCGGGAAGGUGGCGCAACUGCUUCGUGCAGAGGCGAACUUAGAGCCGACCGUGCGGAGCGUUCGGUACUCACCGAGGAGAGCGGUGGCACUUACACCCCUGUAGCGCAGGUCCGCUUCUGCGGCCGGGGCGCUCCCGUCCGUUCGGCGACCGUGCCGUGUCACUGCGUGCAGUGGCCGGCUUCGGCUCGUUUGUCCCGGCAGGAAGUCGUCUCACGCCUUGCGCUGUGGUCGCUUGGCUAGCCGUCGGCUGCAUUCGACCCGUCUG